rnacentral:rRNA from 1 species
UACGAAGGGGGCUAGCGUUGCUCGGAAUGACUGGGCGUAAAGGGCGCGUAGGCGGCGAUCAAGGUCAGAUGUGAAAUUCCUGGGCUUAACCUGGGGGCUGCAUUUGAUACGUGGUGGCUUGAGUGCGGAAGAGGGUCGUGGAAUUCCAGGUGUAGCGGUGAAAUGCGUAGAUAUCUGGAGGAACACCGGUGGCGAAGGCGGCAUCCUGGACCGGCACUGACGCUGAGGAGCGAAAGCCAGGGGAGCAAACGGG